GCUGGAUUAGUUCAGUGGUAGAGCACUGGUCUGAUAUACCAGGAGUCGUUGGUUCAAAUCCAACAUCCAGCA
rnacentral:tRNA from 1 species